rnacentral:rRNA from 1 species
CGAGCGGACAGAUGGGAGCUUGCUCCCUGAUGUUAGCGGCGGACGGGUGAGUAACACGUGGGUAACCUGCCUGUAAGACUGGGAUAACUCCGGGAAACCGGGGCUAAUACCGGAUGGUUGUUUGAACCGCAUGGUUCAAACAUAAAAGGUGGCUUCGGCUACCACUUACAGAUGGACCCGCGGCGCAUUAGCUAGUUGGUGAGGUAACGGCUCACCAAGGCAACGAUGCGUAGCCGACCUGAGAGGGUGAUCGGCCACACUGGGACUGAGACACGGCCCAGACUCCUACGGGAGGCAGCAGUAGGGAAUCUUCCGCAAUGGACGAAAGUCUGACGGAGCAACGCCGCGUGAGUGAUGAAGGUUUUCGGAUCGUAAAGCUCUGUUGUUAGGGAAGAACAAGUACCGUUCGAAUAGGGCGGUACCUUGACGGUACCUAACCAGAAAGCCACGGCUAACUACGUGCCAGCAGCCGCGGUAAUACGUAGGUGGCAAGCGUUGUCCGGAAUUAUUGGGCGUAAAGGGCUCGCAGGCGGUUUCUUAAGUCUGAUGUGAAAGCCCCCGGCUCAACCGGGGAGGGUCAUUGGAAACUGGGGAACUUGAGUGCAGAAGAGGAGAGUGGAAUUCAACGUGU